GGCCUUUCUAGCAGACUUUACUUCUAUCAAGAUCCAGGUACACAUCCUGCUAGAAGAAUAUGGACAUCUCUGGAUGUGGGAACAGAAAUUUUUGUUAGCGACAAAGAUGAAGUGGCAGAAUGGACUCUGAGUGAUUUUGAUGUUCUACUUACCUCGUAAAACCGAAAUUAUGUUGCCAUUCCAUUCAACAUUGUAACUGUAGCCAAAUUAUGUUACACCAAGUAACUGUAAUAUUGUACCUGUAGCCAAAUUAUGUUACACCAAGUAACUGUAAUAUUGUAC
rnacentral:misc_RNA from 1 species